UCUUAAAUUCGUUCUUAAGAAGUUUCCAGUAUAGGCGGAUCUGAAACAUUUUAUUUGUUUUUAUAUAUUUUUAUAUGAGUUCUAUGGUCUGAUCUUUUAUAUAAUUUUAUAAUUCUUUAAAAUUUACAACAUAUCUUAUUACACAGAGACAUAAAUGACAAUUAUUCUGUGAUUGUUUUGUAGACAACGAAACUAAAAUCAACUAAAAAUAAAAUCCACCGCUUCCCUAAACCUAAGUUUCAAAUUGAAACAUGCAACGUCUCCUCAAGCAGUAAAAAAAAGCAUAUUUAAAGUUCUCCAGCAGAUGGCAGCCGUGCAUAAAAAGAACAUUAGGAGAUUUUAUCUCGUGCAACUGUAUUGUAUAUGCAGCUUUAACUAUUUAUGUAAUUCAUUUUAUUAAAACAUAUAUAAAUAUAAAAAUAUUUUGGUUAGGCUACAAAUAUUUUUGACCCUUCAUAUUCGGAAGAAUCAGGUGAAAGUCACUCCCACCAGUCAAGGGUUAAAUUAUAUAAAAUGUGUUUAAAUAUUUAAAACAAAAUUAUAUCAGGAAACAACAGUCAAGCAGUGUUUCUUUUAAAAAAUCAAACCCACUGUAUCACAAUCCUUUCAGAGGAUGUUGACCUCCACAGAAGGAUGAGACAUUGUUGGAACACAGUUGCCAUGGUAACUACAUUCCCCAAAUGGAUAGCGUCAUUAACCUCAGUAAAGUGAAAGAGGUCUAAAAGCCACUGGGGGUUAACAAUUAUACAGUGAUUCUAAAUUGACAUCAAACCUGGGGUUUGUGGGUUCUAGGUACAGUAGAAAACAAAAAAAAAACAAAACAAUAUUACAUCAAAUGUAGAACUUCUCAGCAGACCCUGCUGUGGCUGCUGCUCAAUGAUAUUCAACGUAUUUACCUCAAAGAGAAGUGAGAUCUUUUUAGAUUUUUUUUACCAAUAGGAGGCUAAAUGCACAUUUAUGUACAUGCACAAAAGAGGAAAUUUCUUUUUUUUAUAUUCCCUAAUUAAUUCUGUGUUUCAUUUAAUUUUAAGUGUUGCUAACGCGUUAAUGUUGGAUGGAUUUUACGGACCUGACAGUAAAACGCUCGUCUUCACUUACUGAAAAAUCAAUAACACCCUGAUACAUCUAAACACAUCAGGGAACAUUAAAGUAAUAUUAAACCAAUUUCUACUCCAACGCUGUCGCUCCAUCUUCAGUACAGAUCGUUGAAAAGCCUCUGAAGACCAGAUGAUCAAGUCUGAACUCAGGAAGGAUGACUCCAUCCUGACUUGGGGAUGACAUAAUCAGCUCCUUGCCAGGAAGCCUGAGAUGAUUAACUGGCUACGCGUUCUUCUUUCUCGUAAACUGAUAGGUGCAGCGAUUCUGUAUUUCUCACCCGGACUAAUGAGCUGAAGUGUACUCCACUUGUCCCAACAGGUUUCACUGUCUUCAUUAGUCAUUCAAAUGAAUGUAAUGUCCCCUGGGGACAGCAGCAAUCUCUCAUUCAUCUUCAAACCACAAACACAGAUAUUCUGCUGUUGGAGUAAGAGCUGUCAUUAAUUUUCUCUCCUGGAACUUCUGGAUCUGUCAAGCAGAAAAAAAUAAAAUUGACUGGAAAUUGGGGAAGGGCCUACAUGACUGUGUUAUUUAUAUUUUUUCUAUUCAAUAAAGCUCAGAGUAGAUGUCUGACAUUUUGGGUGGAAAAAAAAGCUAACAAUAUUUCUGCAGCUCCAAAGUGUUUGGAAAUGUUCCUUUCGUUUUCCAAACUGGAGCCAAACAGAGUAGAGGAAACAGUUGGUCACAGACGGUGCUGAGGUCGGAUCGGCCGAGGACGUGACAUGGAAAGAGGGACUCACCGCUACGAUCCGCAGCUGCCCUUACCCUCCGACCAACGACAGGAAAAUGCAGGAAAUGUUUACUGAUGUUGAAAUGGUUCCACACAACAGAUGACCUGACCUGCGGGGCGUGAGAGCUGCUUCUCAUACCACUGCCUUCACGCUCGCACACAAGUCCAUCCGCAAAACCAAACAAGCAGAGUGAAGCCCGGCCGUAUCUUCAGCUCCAGUAUCUUCAGCUGCCUCAACAAAAACAAAUGUGACGUUUUUACCCUGUUAUGACAACAAGCGAUGGCUCGGUGAGAUGACUAAUCCAGAACCCGAUCAUCCUGAGCACCAGAUCAUUCAACUACUGCUUUGGACACUACGGUUUCCAUCCCCUGUGUUGUAAACAAUCAAAACGCAGACUCAACACGUAGACGUCUAGCUUUUCAGAUUUUCUUUGAGCAUCAGAAAAAUCCCACAGUGAAGGAUGCUGGGAAUAGAAGUUGGUCCUGAAAAAAUACGCAGUAAAUUACAAUUUAGAAAUGUCGCACCAGUUAGCCAAGCAUUUGUCGUAAACUGUCAUUUACGCCACCUGCUGGUUUGUACCUGCACUCACCAUUACACCUCUGUUACAUCCACGAAAACCAAGCUUUUUUUUACAGUUGUUUUAAUUCUGCUAACAGUCGUCUCGGUCCAUUUCCUUUAUAUGGUCAAUGAAAUCGCUAUUUCCUCGCCUCCUGUAAAAAGUCACCAUAACUGGAAAUGGAAUGUGGAACCAGUAAAAACAGAAAAAAAAAUGCAGAAAAUGCUGUACUGACACUAACGCUGUUUUUAGUGUAAGCAGACCAUGAUCCAACUGAGGUUCUGUGUGGACAUGAAACAUGGAGAGAACUGCUGCGGAUUCAGUUACAUCUGAAGUGGAACAGAGUUCAGAUGAUGUUUUUUUAAAGGAAGGAGUUCAGGGAGGUGCAGACGUGGUCACCACUGCUGCUGCUGCUGCUGCUGCUGCUGCUGGAUCAGGCCGUGUUAUGACACCUGCAAGCAAUGAGUGAGUCAGCAAGAUCCUCCAGACCAGAGGUCUCCAAACAGCCCCAGCAGGGCGGGAGGCCCGGAGCUUCAAAGGGUAUCACCAAGAAGAACUUGGGAUUUUGAAGGUGUCAACGUUUAUUUAUUUACUGAAGUGAGGAGCACAUAAUUAAAUUCACGUCCAAGAAAGUUCUCUGAAAGCCUCUCCCUGAGUUAGGGAGCGUUUCUUAGAUGGAAAAGAUAAAAAAAAAAA